rnacentral:rRNA from 1 species
GUCAUAACAUGCAGUCGACGAUGAGCCCUGCUUGCAGGGUGGAUUAGUGGCGAACGGGUGAGUAACACGUGAGUAACCUGCCCCCGACUCUGGGAUAAGCCCGGGAAACUGGGUCUAAUACCGGAUAUGACUUCCUACUGCAUGGUGGGUUGUUGAAAGAUUUAUCGGUGGGGGAUGGACUCGCGGCCUAUCAGCUUGUUGGUGAGGUAAUGGCUCACCAAGGCGACGACGGGUAGCCGGCCUGAGAGGGUGACCGGCCACACUGGGACUGAGACACGGCCCAGACUCCUACGGGAGGCAGCAGUGGGGAAUAUUGCACAAUGGGCGGAAGCCUGAUGCAGCGACGCCGCGUGAGGGAUGACGGCCUUCGGGUUGUAAACCUCUUUCAGUAGGGAAGAAGCGAAAGUGACGGUACCUGCAGAAGAAGCGCCGGCUAACUACGUGCCAGCAGCCGCGGUAAUACGUAGGGCGCAAGCGUUAUCCGGAUUUAUUGGGCGUAAAGAGCUCGUAGGCGGUUUGUCGCGUCUGCCGUGAAAGUCCGAGGCUCAACCUCGGAUCUGCGGUGGGUACGGGCAGACUAGAGUGAUGUAGGGGAGACUGGAAUUCCUGGUGUAGCGGUGAAAUGCGCAGAUAUCAGGAGGGAAACACCGAUGGCGAAGGCAGGUCUCUGGGCAUUUACUGACGCUGAGGAGCGAAAGCAUGGGGGGAGCGAACAGGAUUAGAAUACCCUGG